GUGGGGAAUUUUGGACAAUGGGCGCAAGCCUGAUCCAGCAAUGCCGCGUGCAGGAAGAAGGCCUUCGGGUUGUAAACUGCUUUUGUACGGAACGAAACGGUCCGGGUUAAUACCCUGGGCUAAUGACGGUACCGUAAGAAUAAGCACCGGCUAACUACGUGCCAGCAGCCGCGGUAAUACGUAGGGUGCAAGCGUUAAUCGGAAUUACUGGGCGUAAAGCGUGCGCAGGCGGUUUUGUAAGACAGAGGUGAAAUCCCCGGGCUCAACCUGGGAACUGCCUUUGUGACUGCAUAGCUGGAGUGCGGCAGAGGGGGAUGGAAUUCCGCGUGUAGCAGUGAAAUGCGUAGAUAUGCGGAGGAACACCGAUGGCGAAGGCAAUCCCCUGGGCCUGCACUGACGCUCAUGCACGAAAGCGUGGGGAGCAAACAGGAUUAGAAACCCUUGUAGUCC
rnacentral:rRNA from 1 species